rnacentral:lncRNA from 1 species
GUGGUCAUAGCCCAAGGUGGUACCAUAAUUCCAACAAGAGCCAACACUUAUUCUUCCUGUGUGGCCAGAGCUGAGCUAAGCAUGUUCUAUGCCUCAUCUCAUUAAUCCUCACAAAAUCCUAUGAGAUGAGGAAACUGAGGUUCGGAAGUGGCUUGCCCAAGGUUUCACCGUGACUGACAGAGCUGGGCCGAAAAGCCAAGCAUUUGGAGGCCUCCCCACUCUCACUGUCUCAGAUGAAAUGCGCCUGCCCCAGGGUUGUCUGGGGAAACAAACAGGAGGUUGUGCUUGUAUCUUAAUAAGCAUGAAAUGCCUCUUCCACCACCGCUCACCGCAGGAUUUGAUGUGUCCUUGUGUUUACAGAUAAGCCAGUCAAGAGGGCAAUGGGAAUUAUUUGAGGGUACGUAUGUGGAUGUACCCCUGGAAAAACAUGUCAUUAUACUUAUGGGUUUAUGUCAUUAGGAAAAAAUGUCAUAAUGUGAUUAACACUCAUAAUCUCAUUAUGGUCAUAAGGUCAUUAUUACUCAUCCCUUCCUAGAAUCUUCCAAACCUCUGGUGAUUUCACAAGGGAAGGGCGGGAACUCUGUUCCUCUUGGUGGCUACUGUCAUUGGAUCUCUGACCCUUGGAGUCUAUGUCAAAGGAGACCCGCCCUCAUUCAGGUUCUGAGCAGCAAGACCUAAUGGCACAGGGGACAGCUUUUGCUAUGGGGCAUGGAGGGUCUGAUGAGGGCUCCAGGGGUCUCAGGUCACAGAGGAAAAUGCUGUUCUGAACUCUAGCCUUGGGCCACACAGAAGAUGUCACAUGGUCUCUGUAACUUUCUCUCCAUCAUAGGGACAGUGACAACAACUAACACAGCACCUACCCCAUUCUGGGCUUCCUAUGGAUUAUCUCCUUUAAUCCUCGUGACAACUCUGUGAUGUAGGUGCUAUUAUUAUGCCUUUUGUUUUUGAGGCGGAGUCUCGCUCUGUCCCCCAGGCUGGAGUGCAGUAGCGAAAUCUUGGCUCACUGCAACCUCCAUCUCCCAGGUUCAAGUGAUUCUCGUGCCUCAGCCUCCUGAGUAGCUGGGACUACAGGUGCACACUGCCACAUCCUGCUAUUUUUUUUUUUUUUAAUAUUUUUAGUAGAGACAGAGUUUCUCCGUGUUGGUCAGGCUGGUCUCCUGACCUCAAGUGAUCCGCGGGAUGGGCCUCCCAAAGUGCUGGGAUUACAGGUAUGAGCCACUGCGCCCAGCCAAAUAUUUGCAUUUUACAGAUGAAAAAAGUGCUGCAUGGAGAGACCUAGUAAUGUGUCCAAGGUGUCACA